rnacentral:rRNA from 1 species
AUUGAACGCUGGCGGCAGGCCUAACACAUGCAAGUCGGACGGUAGCACAGAGGAGCUUGCUCCUCGGGUGACGAGUGGCGGACGGGUGAGUAAUGUCUGGGGAUAUGCCCGAUAGAGGGGGAUAACCACUGGAAACGGUGGCUAAUACCGCAUAACGUCGCAAGACCAAAGAGGGGGACCUUCGGGCCUCUCACUAUCGGAUGAACCCAGAUGGGAUUAGCUAGUAGGCGGGGUAACGGCCCACCUAGGCGACGAUCCCUAGCUGGUCUGAUAGGAUGACCAGCCCAACUGGAACUGAGACACGGUCCAGACUCCUACGGGAGGCAGCAGUGGGGAAUAUUGCACAAUGGGCGCAAGCCUGAUGCAGCCAUGCCGCGUGUAUGAAGAAGGCCUUCGGGUUGUAAAGUACUUUCAGCGGGGAGGAAGGCGAUGUGGUUAAUAACCGCGUCGAUUGACGUUACCCGCAGAAGAAGCACCGGCUAACUCCGUGCCAGCAGCCGCCGUAA